AGGAGGUGAGAUGAUUCUUAUCCACCUAAAUCUGUAUGUUUCAGUGAUGUUUCAGAACAUGCACUACCAUCUGAUCUCUG
rnacentral:snoRNA from 1 species